UAGCUCCUUAGUUUUUAUCCAAAAAACAUAAAGCUGAAGAUGAAAAGUAACGUUAAUAAAAAAAUUUUCUCAAGAAUUGACUUUCACACAUGCUUAAUUUUUUAUUUUAUCAUGUUUUCCUACCAUUAGUCUCUUUUAUAUGCAUAGUGAAUUCGUUCUAUAAAAAGAUUAAUAAUGCGAAGACAAUUAAAAGUCCAGAUUUUCAGCAAACAUGACAUAAGUAUGAUAGAAAUCACAAAGGUAAACAUAACAAAUGAUGUGACUGUCCCUUAACCCUUUCCUAAGAGGUAAUUCGUUUUAUUUAAAAGCCUACGUCUUUUAUUCAAAACAUCAAAGUGAUUUUUGUUUUAGAAUUCCCUUCUAUUUAAAAUAAAAUGAUUUGCAAGUAAGGCCUAUCUGAAUUCCUUGUACCUACCCUUUAUGAAAUGCAAAAAAGUAUAUCUCUCAUUUUAAAUCAUCCCCCUCUUUAACUAUUUCAAUUAAUAAAUAAGUCCCAAGGGACUUCAAUUUCACUUCCCAGAAGUAUUGGUUAACGCUUUCAUUAUAUCACAUGCUAUCUAAGGUACAUUACAUAAUGUAUUCGUAUAUACCAUAUAUUUAGUUAUAGAGGUUUAAACAUCUUUCUUAACCUCCCUUACUUUUUGUUUGAAGUCGACCACUUGUAUAUUCUUUUUAAAAUCCACAUGCAUUCGACAAAAAUUUUAAAACAUUAAUUAAUUAGUUUUUGUUCCUAAAAGCGACGGGCAUAGCAAGGUAUUCGCAUAUCCUCGUUACGUGACUCACAAAGGGUUGCAUAUUACAAAUACCCGUCCUUAUGGGGUUGUCGAACCAACCAACGGGGUGGGUGGUGCUCAAAUUUAAACCCACAAGCGUAUAACUACUAUGCCAACUAUAAGUAACAUCAGACACAUGCCUUAAACAUCGGCGGCGGUGGAAUAGGUAUGGUAAUUUAAAUGAAAAUACUUAACAGGUACAAAAAAAGCGGAUCGUGCUGCAUCAUUGCCACACUAGUGACUGAUUUCAACCACCUCCUUUUAUGUGCAGUAGUGGGUUGGGAAUAUUGUAUGCACAAGCACAGUCACACGCAACGCAGGCAGAGACCUCUUUGAUCGACCGGCUUGCCAAUGGCUUCUUCGAAAGCAGAACUUUGCAAAAGAUUCAGCUUUUAAAACGAACAAAGUUAUAGAAACGUAUACCUUACCUAUAGCUACAUCUGCUGCUUCCUUACUUCUCUAAUGCCAAUUCGUGAUAUUUUUUUGAUGAAAGGACCAAAUUGCAAAUGAAAAGGACCCUCAUUCCUGCCUCUUCAGCAAUAAUUUUGUUUUUUUUUUUUGCUUCUUUUCCGUCGAAGAAGCAAAGUCCUUAGCAAAUAAAUGGAAAAAACAAAAACAAUGAGUGCCCACUUGAGUCUGUCCUUAUGAAAUACGAUAGGGGUAUUGUAGCGCAAAUGAUAAUAUUCACAGAAACGGCAACGGCAACGGCAGCAGUAGCAACAGCGACAGCAGCAGGAAAUAAGGAACCAAAAAACGAAAAAGGGUUAUACAUAAUACACUUGCCUUAUUCGACUGCUCUAGAGCUAAAGCUGGAGCUGGAAGUGUAUAGCUGAUGCCAAUUGGAAUACAUGAGCCAUCACAUGGCAAACAAUUUUAAUUCGAAGUCCGGACGUUUAAUGCGCCUCCGAAUUGACUUUUAAUGAGGAGCUUGGCAGAAAAAUAAACCAUGGCCCAAACAAAAACAAUACAACAAAAAACGGACAUCACUCUCACAAUAGAACAGGUAGAUUGCAGCUUAAGGAUAUUUUUUCCGACGACUUUUCAUCCAGUUCGAGUUCACUCGGAUCGUCCUCGUCCAGUGCGGCAAGGGCGACACGGUGCUACGCGGUGGUGGUAGUGAGGAUACUUACAUUUCAUAGGUAGGACGACGACGACGGGAUUAUGAAGCACACGAUAGGGUCACAUGAGGAUUUAGCCAAGAGUGCUGUUGCAAAGAAGGAUUCCGUGAGCAGCAGGAAUCGUGUUGUUUUUUUCUUGCAAUACGACAGAGAAGAAUUCAUUUUUUCCAUUUGGCCAUUUUGAUGAAAUCGUAUAUUUCCUAUGUUUAUGCUGUUUUUCGUUGUUGUAAGUACAUACAUAUACCUGCAUAUAUGUAAGUAAGGUACUAUAUUUCUCGAGAAAUUGUACUCGUCUCGUACAAUAAAAGCUUCGAUGAAAAGCAAAGAGAGGCAAACAUUGAAUCACGAGAGCAAAAGAAAACCAUGUCAAUCAAAUUGCAUGCCAUUUUGGUUUACUAUGAGAAUAAUAUUCUCUGUAUACCAGGUUAAGAAGGUUUACAAACGGGCAGCAGGACAGGAUCUAUUCCACCCUUUUUUUCUUAUAAGUGGAUCAGGGGGUUCAACUUUUCGUGUUGUUUGGUUUUCAUGUAAAAUGAACUCUUGCCAUUGUGCAGAGAAGAUUUCCUGUGAGAAACUCUUUUAGAAUGUUGGGAUUACCAGGCGGAUAAUGAGUUGGAAGCAGAGCGUUUUCAAUGUUUUUUUUUCUCCGAAUACGUUACAGUUGAAUAUAUUAAGGACUUUAAGAAGUGUAAAAGGCCAACAUAAGGUUAUGUCAUAUGGCAACAGUAAAAUAAUGCACUGUUGAAUCACUUACAUUGUAUGGGAUGUAAAAAGCCUGAGAUUGAAUGACCAAUACCGUUUGUAAAUAUUUAUUUAGAAUUUCAUAAUAAAACUAA